UACGGGGGGGGCAAGCGUUGUUCGGAAUUACUGGGCGUAAAGGGCUCGUAGGUGGCCAACUAAGUCAGACGUGAAAUCCCUCGGCUUAACCGGGGAACUGCGUCUGAUACUGGAUGGCUUGAGUUUGGGAGAGGAAUGCGGAAUUCCAGGUGUAGCGGUGAAAUGCGUAGAUAUCUGGAGGAACACCGGUGGCGAAGGCGGCAUUCUGGACCAAUACUGACGCUGAGGAGCGAAAGCCAGGGGAGCAAAGCGGG
rnacentral:rRNA from 1 species